UCUACUAAGAUACCCAGAGGAAUGCCUUCA
rnacentral:piRNA from 1 species